CCUACGGGAGGCAGCAGUGAGGAAUAUUGGUCAAUGGACGAGAGUCUGAACCAGCCAAGUAGCGUGAAGGAUGACUGCCCUAUGGGUUGUAAACUUCUUUUAUAUGGGAAUAAAAUGUUCCACGUGUGGGAUUUUGUAUGUCCCAUAUGAAUAAGGAUCGGCUAACUCCGUGCCAGCAGCCGCGGUAAUACGGAGGAUCCGAGCGUUAUCCGGAUUUAUUGGGUUUAAAGGGAGCGUAGGUGGAUUGUUAAGUCAGUUGUGAAAGUUUGCGGCUCAACCGUAAAAUUGCAGUUGAAACUGGCAGUCGUGAGUACAGUAGAGGUGAGCGGAAUUCGUGGUGUAGCGGUGAAAUGCUUAGAUAGCACGAAGAACUCCGAUUGCGAAGGCAGCUCACUGGACUGCAACUGACACUGAGGCUCGAAAGUGUGGGUAUCAAACAGGAUUAGAUACCCGGGUAGUC
rnacentral:rRNA from 1 species